rnacentral:rRNA from 1 species
GACGUAGGGCGCGAGCGUUGUCCGGAUUUAUUGGGCGUAAAGAGCUCGUAGGCGGCUUGUUGCGUCGACUGUGAAACCCGACGGCUCAACCGUGUGGUCUGCAGUCGAUACGGGCAGGCUAGAAUUCGGUAGGGGAGACUGGAAUUCCUGGUGUAGCGGUGAAAUGCGCAGAUAUCAGGAGGAACACCGGUGGCGAAGGCGGGUCUCUGGGCCGAUAUUGACGCUGAGGAGCGAAAGCGUGGGGAGCGAACAGG